rnacentral:rRNA from 1 species
AUGGUGCCCGCAGGCGGGAGAGGGAGAGGCGGAUGGUUCUGCCGGUGGGAGGCCGCCCGCCGCUCCCCGGGCCUCAUCGUUCUAUCUCAGGCGGAGAUCGUGUCAUGGCGGCUAGAUCUGUUUGUUUUCUAUGUGAAGGACAUGUCUACCAAGCCAAGAAAAAGAAAAAAUAAGGAAGCGAAUGCAUCAUACGAUGAGUCAAAGCGGCACAUAGUUCUUUCUGGGAAGAGAAACAUCGUGGGAGUGGAUGACAAGACAGACAAGUCAGAAGAUUAUGAAAAGUUUGAUGAAAUUGCUCCAUUCACAGUGAAUAUUGACCCGAGCAUCCCGUUAAAUGAUGAAGAUUUUCCAUGGCUACGACGCAAAGGGACACACGCGAAGAAAAAGUUUCACACCCAAAGAUCUGGGAUGUGA